UGGCGGCGUGCCUAACACAUGCAAGUUGAGCGGGAAUGUAUCUUCAGAGAUUUCGAUUGACGAAGAUGCAGGAGAGCAGCGGACGGGUGAGUAACGCGUGAGCAAUCUGCCCUGUGGAGGGGGAUAGCCUCCGGAAACGGAGAUUAAUACCGCAUAACACUGCACUGUCGCAUGAUAGAGCAGUCAAAACUCAGGUGCCACAGGAUGAGCUCGCGUCUCAUUAGCUAGUUGGUAGGGUAAAAGCCUACCAAGGCGACGAUGAGUAGCCGACCUGAGAGGGUGAUCGGCCACACUGGGACUGAGACACGGCCCAGACUCCUACGGGAGGCAGCAGUGGGGAAUAUUGCGCAAUUUUGUUUGAACCCUGACGCAGCAACGCCGCGUGAAUGAAGAAGGCUUUCGAGUCGUAAAAUUCUGUCCUCAGGGAAGAAGAAGUGACGGUACCUGAGGAGGAAGCCCCGGCUAACUACGUGCCAGCAGCCGCGGUAAUACGUAGGGGGCAAGCGUUGUCCGGAAUCACUGGGCGUAAAGGGCGCGUAGGCGGUAUAUUAAGUCAG
rnacentral:rRNA from 1 species